UAACAUUUUCAAAACAUAUUAAAAUUAUUACUGUUGGGGCCUAGCUUAUCUCCCUCACCUUGGUAAAGAUGAAAAGGUGGCUUUGAAAGGUCACUCCCUGGAUUUCAUCACAAAGGAAGUGUGACCUCACUAGCCUUUGUUAGCCAUUGCGGUUCACCUAUUAAAUGGGCAGAGCUGGCUGAGUAAACCACAAGCUCUGAAAGGCCCCUCCAAGGCAGGUUGGGCUCCAGCUGCUAGGAGCUCGAAAGAACAAGAACACCAUCUGAAAUGGCUCGAUUCAGACGCAGCAGGAGCCGAAGCCUCAGUCGCCGCCGUCGGAGGCGUAGAGGACGUGGUCAUGGUGGUGGAAAGAAGAGGCGGGGAAGGCGUCGUGGGAGAGGGAAAGGUAAAGGCCACAAGAAAGGAAGAAGAAGAAGGAGACACCACCACUAAGUUCUCCCACUCUGGCCUCCGGUGUCCUUGAUUUCAAGUCAUCCAAAUCAACAAAACUUCUGUCAAAAGAAAGCAAAAUGAAACAAAACAACUCCUUCCACUGAAACAUGCAGGAAGAAUUCUCAAAAAUCAGGGAGCCUGGAACAAGUCUGAACCUUGCCACCUGUCAAUAAAUGCUGACAUUUCA